UUUCCGGUUGAUCCUGCCGGACCUGACUGCUAUCGGAUUGAUACUAAGCCAUGCGAGUCUUUGUAGUAAUACAAGGCAUACGGCUCAGUAACGCGUAGUCAACCUACCCUAUGGACAAGAAUAAUCUCGGGAAACUGAGCAUAAUUCUUGAUAGAUCAUAAUGCCUGGAAUGGUUUAUGGUUAAAAUGAUUCGUCGCCAUAGGAUGGGACUGCGGCCUAUCAGCUUGUUGGUGAGGUAAUGGCCCACCAAGGCGAUUACAGGUACGGGCUCUGAGAGGAGAAGCCCGGAGAUGGGUACUGAGACAAGGACCCAGGCCCUAUGGGGCGCAGCAGGCGAGAAAACUUUGCAAUGUGCGAAAGCACGACAAGGUUAGUCCGAGUGAUUUCUGCUAAAGAGAUCUUUUGCUAGUUAUAAAACCACUAGUGAAUAAGGGGUGGGCAAGUUCUGGUGUCAGCCGCCGCGGUAAAACCAGCACCUCAAGUGGUCAGGAUGAUUAUUGGGCCUAAAGCAUCCGUAGCCGGCUCUGUAAGUUUUCGGUUAAAUCUAUGCGCUCAACGUAUGGGCUGCCGAAAAUACUGCAGAGAUAGGGAGUGGGAGAGGUAGACGGUACUCGGUAGGAAGGGGUAAAAUCCUUUGAUCUAUCGAUGACCACCUGUGGCGAAGGCGGUCUACCAGAACACGUUCGACGGUGAGGGAUGAAAGCUGGGGGAGCAAACCGGAUUAGAUACCCGGGUAGUCCCAGCUGUAAACGAUGCAGACUCGAUGAUGCAUUGGCAUAUAGCCAGUGCAGUGUCGCAGGGAAGCCGUUAAGUCUGCCGCCUGGGAAGUACGUACGCAAGUAUGAAACUUAAAGGAAUUGGCGGGGGAGCACCACAAGGGGUGAAGCCUGCGGUUCAAUUGGAUUCAACGCCGGGA
rnacentral:rRNA from 1 species